AGGACGAACGCUGGCGGCGUGCUUAACACAUGCAAGUCGAGCGGAAAGGCCCUUCGGGGUACUCGAGCGGCGAACGGGUGAGUAACACGUGAGCAACCUGCCCCUGGCUCUGGGAUAGCCUCCGGAAACGGGGAUUAAUACCGGACAUUCACUUCCUUCCGCAUGGUUGGUGGUGGAAAGUUUUUCGGCCGGGGAGGGGCUCGCGGUCUAUCAGCUUGUUGGCGGGGUAACGGCCCACCAAGGCGACGACGGAUAGCCGGCCUGAGAGGGCGAUCGGCCACACUGGGACUGAGACACGGCCCAGACUCCUACGGGAGGCAGCAGUGGGGAAUAUUGCACAAUGGGCGCAAGCCUGAUGCAGCGACGCCGCGUGGGGGAUGAAGGCCUUCGGGUUGUAAACCCUUUCACCAGGAGCGAAUUCAGACGGUACCUGGGGAAGAGCGCCGGCUAACUACGCGCCAGCAGCCGC
rnacentral:rRNA from 1 species